GGGCCGGUCGUCUAGCCUGGUUUAAGACGCCUCCUUGUCAAGGAGGAGACCACGGGUUCAAAUCCCGUCCGGCCCGCCA
rnacentral:tRNA from 1 species